GGCAAGAAGUCUAGUCCAUCACUUACUGGUUGGUUAGAACGUGGUGUUGAUAAUGCCAAGGAUGCAGGUUUGAACCCUGUAUGGGGCCGCCA